rnacentral:rRNA from 1 species
AAAGUCUAAAACGACUCUCGGCAACGGAUAUCUCGGCUCUCGCAUCGAUGAAGAACGUAGCGAAAUGCGAUACUUGGUGUGAAUUGCAGAAUCCCGUGAACCAUCGAGUCUUUGAACGCAAGUUGCGCCCCAAGCCUUCUGGCCGAGGGCACGUCUGCCUGGGCGUCACAA